GCUUCACAAGUCAGUGAGCACGCAGGCGCCGACCUUCUGCUGAAAGCUGCAGCCCAUGUCGCAGCAUCCUCAACCAGCGCAGGCAUUCUGAGCAGAGCUGACUCACAAGCUGUAACAUCUGAAAACAGAGCUACCCCGACUGUUUCCUACGCUUCUGAACGUUUGGAAGGAGCAUGUCAUAGUUCAGGGCAACCAAAGAAAAUGGACCCUGAAACUUCCACUUUUAUCGUUGAUCCAACAAAUAAACUGAGAGAGAGCCCACCAGUACAAGUCCCUUCGGACGGUAGAUACCUUUCACCGGAUGCUGUAACUGCUCUCCACGAGAGGAUACGGGAAUUGGAAAACAAGCUCCUACGUA